rnacentral:rRNA from 1 species
GAUGAACGCUGGCGGCGUGCCUAACACAUGCAAGUCGAACGAAGCACCUUACCUGAUUCUUCGGAUGAAAGUUUGGUGACUGAGUGGCGGACGGGUGAGUAACGCGUGGGUAACCUGCCCUGUACAGGGGGAUAACAGCUGGAAACGGCUGCUAAUACCGCAUAAGCGCACGAGGAGACAUCUCCUUGUGUGAAAAACUCCGGUGGUACAGGAUGGGCCCGCGUCUGAUUAGCUGGUUGGCAGGGUAACGGCCUACCAAGGCAACGAUCAGUAGCCGGUCUGGGAGGAUGAACGGCCACAUUGGAACUGAGACACGGUCCAAACUCCUACGGGAGGCAGCAGUGGGGAAUAUUGCACAAUGGGGGAAACCCUGAUGCAGCAACGCCGCGUGAGUGAAGAAGUAUUUCGGUAGGUAAAGCUCUAUCAGCAGGGAAGAUAAUGACGGUACCUGACUAAGAAGCUCCGGCUAAAUACGU